ensembl:ncRNA C24B9.17 ncRNA
UCUAAGCCUAAGCCUAAGCCUAAGCGUAAGCCUAAGCCUAUGACUAACUCUAAGUCUAAGCCUAAACCAUCCUAAGCCGAAG